rnacentral:rRNA from 1 species
GAUGAACGCUGGCGGCGUGCCUAAUACAUGCAAGUCGAGCGAACAGACGAGGAGCUUGCUCCUCUGACGUUAGCGGCGGACGGGUGAGUAACACGUGGAUAACCUACCUAUAAGACUGGGAUAACUUCGGGAAACCGGAGCUAAUACCGGAUAAUAUAUUGAACCGCAUGGUUCAAUAGUGAAAGACGGGUUUGCUGUCACUUAUAGAUGGAUCCGCGCCGCAUUAGCGAGUUGGUAAGGUAACGGCUUACCAAGGCAACGAUGCGUAGCCGACCCGAGAGGGUGAUCGGCCACAGUGGAACUGAGACACGGUCCAGACUCCUACGGGAGGCAGCAGUAGGGAAUCUUCCGAAAUGGGCGAAAGCCUGACGGUGCAACGCCGCGUGAGUGAUGAAGGUCUUCGGAUCGUAAAACUCUGUUAUUAGGGAAGAACAAAUGUGUAAGUAACUAUGCACGUCUUGACGGUACCUAAUCAGAAAGCCACGGCUAACUACGUG